GACAGAGGCCUCAAGCGUUAGGCGGAAUCACUGGGCUUAAAGCGUGUGUAGGCGGAUCGUUAAGUGUCUUGUGAAAUCCCACGGCUCACCCCGUGGAACUGCUGGGCAUACUGGCGAUCUUGGGCCAACUAGGGGCAACUGGAACAAGCGGUGGAGCGGUGAAAUGCGUAGAUAUCGCUUGGAACGCCAAAGGUGAAAAACAGGUUGCUGGGG
rnacentral:rRNA from 1 species